CAUUAGAUGACUGAAAGCAAGUACUGGUCUCUUAAACCAUUUUAUGAUAAUCUAGCAACUAUCUCUAAUGA
rnacentral:tRNA from 1 species